rnacentral:rRNA from 1 species
ACAUGCAAGUCGAACGGACACUUCGGUGUCAGUGGCGGACGGCUGAGUAACACGUGGGUGACCUGCCCCGGAGCGGGGGAUAACUGCCCGAAAGGGUGGCUAAUACCGCAGACAUCACGGAUUCGGUUUCGUGAUUGAACCUUUAGGGGGUUCUGGGAGGGGCCCGCGGCCGAUUAGCUAGCUGGUGGGGUAACGGCCUACCAGGGCGACGAUCGGUAGCUGGUCUGGGAGGAUGAUCAGCCAGACUGGGACUGCGAACGGCCCAGACUCCUACGGGAGGCAGCAGUUAGGAAUUUUGGGCAAUGGGCGAAAGCCUGACCCAGCAACGCCGCGUGGGUGAUGAAGGCCCUCGGGUCGUAAAGCCCUUUUCCCAGGGACGAUGAUGACGGUACCUGGGGAAUCAGCCCCGGCUAACUACGUGCCAGCAGCCGCGGUAAUACGUAGGGGGCAAGCGUUGUCCGGAUUUAUUGGGCGUAAAGCGCUCGCAGGUGGUUCGUCGCGUCGUGCGUGAAAGACCCCGGCUCAACUGGGGGGUGUCGUACGAUACGGGCGGACUGGAGGCCAGUAGGGGGAUGCGGAAUUCCGGGUGUAGUGGUGGAAUGCGUAGAGAUCCGGAGGAACACCAGCGGCGA